rnacentral:rRNA from 1 species
UACGUAGGGUGCGAGCGUUAAUCGGAAUUACUGGGCGUAGAGCGUGCGCAGGCGGUUUUGUAAGACAGAUGUGAAAUCCCCGGGCUUAACCUGGGAACUGCGUUUGUGACUGCAAGACUCGAGUACGGCAGAGGGGGGUGGAAUUCCACGUGUAGCAGUGAAAUGCGUAGAGAUGUGGAGGAACACCGAUGGCGAAGGCAGCCCCCUGGGUCGAUACUGACGCUCAUGCACGAAAGCGUGGGGAGCAAACAGG